ensembl:lncRNA
GAGCAGUGUGAUCCUUCUGCAGAAAUGUGAAAGCAUUAAUAUACUUUUUUUUUUUUUUUUUUUUUUUUUUUUUGCUGAGAAGAGGAUGAGCAAAGAAUAUCAUAUGGGUUGGAUAUCAUUUGGGUUGGAUAUCAAAGUUUGCAUCCCUCUGCUUCUGCGUUAGACUCAUCUCCCACAUCUCCCUCCCCACAGCUCCAACCAUUCAGGGAGCAGAAAUCACCGUUAUGCUUCCAGGAAGCUCUCAUCCCUUGCAGUAUUCAGCUUUAAGUUUUAGUUCCUGCUACCUCGCCUGUUUUGACAAAUACCCACAGCACUCAAUAAAAUUAAAACAUCAAUGAACAAAACAGAUCCGUAUGAAGUUUUCCCCACAGAUUAGGAAAGGAGAGGAAGCACAUCUGGUAGAGGAGCGUCGUGUUGCUAAAUAUGUUCAAGUUCCACUCUGAUAGGUUGGAAAGAAUCACAGUGCUGGUGCUGCUGCAUUCCCAGUCUGUCACCGAGAACAACUUCAAAAUACAGAGGUUGCAUGAGACUUCCCUCCAGAACAUCCUCUUACUGCAAGAAGCUGAAGAAAAGUCUCACGUGUUCCCCACCAGUGAAAACAUUCCUGCAGGCUUCACACCCAUUGGCAGCUCACCCUGCGAGCUUCAACCAAGGGUAUGCCAAGGCCGCACCAUGCCCUGCACCUCGUUUAGGAAGUUGCCUGCUCUAAUCUGCCUUUCUAAAAAUCUUAAAGAAUCCAGAAAGAGUGAUACACAGCCCUCUUCCACUUGCAGGUGAUGCAUCUGACAGCAGAAGUGACCAUGCUGCACAGUGGCUGCUUGCUCCUCACCUGCCCAACGGGCAAGUGACAGCGUUGGGCCCAAAGCCUCUGGGACUUUGCUUCAGGAACUGCUCUAAGCCUCUGCCUCAGGAGGCUGUUGCUGCAGGGAAUUUUCCUCCAUCAGCAGGAACUGAAGCAGCUGCAAGAGCUGCAGAUGUAGACUCUAAAUCAUCGUGUCUUUCCCUCUUUCAGGACAAGCUCCUGAGAGAAUUUGGUUUACCACACAUCUGACGUGUGUUUAUGUGUUGCGGAAUGGGAGUAAUGCAAUGAUUCUCAGGGCAUAACUAUUGUGAAAAAAAUCAGAGGAGUUUUCAUCUCCCCCUCCACUUCCCCCCCCCCUCCUCCUCCUCAAGGUAGCAUUCCCACAGCAUCACCUUUGGG